rnacentral:rRNA from 1 species
AUGAACGCUGGCGGCGUGCCUAAUACAUGCAAGUCGAGCGAACAGGUGAGGAGCUUGCUCCUCUGACGUUAGCGGCGGACGGGUGAGUAACACGUGGAUAACCUACCUAUAAGACUGGGAUAACUUCGGGAAACCGGAGCUAAUACCGGAUAAUAUAUUGAACCGCAUGGUUCAAUAGUGAAAGACGGUUUUGCUGUCACUUAUAGAUGGAUCCGCGCCGCAUUAGCUAGUUGGUAAGGUAACGGCUUACCAAGGCAACGAUGCGUAGCCGACCUGAGAGGGUGAUCGGCCACACUGGAACUGAGACACGGUCCAGACUCCUACGGGAGGCAGCAGUAGGGAAUCUUCCGCAAUGGGCGAAAGCCUGACGGAGCAACGCCGCGUGAGUGAUGAAGGUCUUCGGAUCGUAAAACUCUGUUAUUAGGGAAGAACAAAUGUGUAAGUAACUAUGCACGUCUUGACGGUACCUAAUCAGAAAGCCACGGCUAACUACGUG